rnacentral:rRNA from 1 species
UACGUAGGGCGCAAGCGUUGUCCGGAAUUAUUGGGCGUAAAGAGCUUGUAGGCGGCUUGUCACGUCGGGUGUGAAAGCCCGGGGCUUAACCCCGGGUCUGCAUUCGAUACGGGCAGGCUAGAGUGUGGUAGGGGAGAUCGGAAUUCCUGGUGUAGCGGUGAAAUGCGCAGAUAUCAGGAGGAACACCGGUGGCGAAGGCGGAUCUCUGGGCCAUUACUGACGCUGAGGAGCGAAAGCGUGGGGAGCAAACAGG